GAGGGUAUACCUCAGUGGUAGAGUGCAUGCUUAGCAUGCAUGAGGUCCUGGGUUCAAUCUCCUGUAUCUCCA
rnacentral:tRNA from 1 species